UACGAAGGGGGCUAGCGUUGUUCGGAAUCACUGGGCGUAAAGCGCAUGCAGGCGGAUCGUUAAGUCGGGGGUGAAAGCCCGAGGCUCAACCUCGGAACUGCCUUCGAUACUGGCGAUCUUGAGUCCGGGAGAGGUGAGUGGAACUCCGAGUGUAGAGGUGAAAUUCGUAGAUAUUGGGAAGAACACCGGUGGCGAAGGCGGCUCUCUGGACCGAGACUGACGCUGAGGCGCGAAAGCGUGGGGAGCAAACAGG
rnacentral:rRNA from 1 species